ensembl:lncRNA
UAGGAGAAGACAUGAGAGAAGUACUCGGGACCAGAUAGGACAGCAGAAAGCAAGGCAGACCCUGAGCUCACAGAGGUCUGAGUGGAGCCUAAACAUGGUCUAAUGGACCAUCUCUUUUUGCUGACCUUUGUCUUCUGUUCAAUCUCGUGGAUUUUCUUCUGGGAGGUACGCUGGAAGAAAAGCAAGGAAAAUCUGAUUGAAGAAUGGCUGCAGAGACAAAGCCUAUCCGAAUACAAGUAUUUGUUUGAAGAUGUUCAGACUCUGGAGGAGCUGAGUUUAUGUGUGCUGUCUCGACUGGAGGAAGUGGUAAAGGCAAAGCAUCACUGGAGGGAGAUUACUGAGGCCCAAGUGCAGCUUCUUAGAGACUUUGCCUUCCAGGAGUGGCUUUGUUCCCAGAGUCUGGAGCACUACUAUCACACCCUGAAGACCCUGGGCUGCACUACCCUGGAUGAUCUAGCACAGUUUGACAGCCAGCUUCAACUCUCUCUAGCUGCGUGGGGCUAUUACUACGAGGAUUACAUCAAACUGUCCACAGGCGUGAGGGUCCUCCAGGCAUCUAAGGGAAAUAGAGAUCAAGACUACGAGAUUCAGUUGGUGCACAGCCUUGCUGAGAGGCGGCUGAAUGAGAAGUGGUCUUUGGCAGGAGCUCUGAUAUUUGGCUGUACCAUUGCCCUGUGCUUUCUGAUAAGGGACCUCAUGUUUUACGUGAUUGAGAGAGCUAAAGUAUACAUGUGGCAAGCGGUGCAAACAACAAUAGCAGGAGAAGAAGCCAUUACUCACCGUGAUUGA